rnacentral:lncRNA from 10 species
AUGAACAGUGUUUACGGUUAAAACCAUCAGAACAAGAUCACGUCUUGUGCAGGAACAUGGAUGAAGCUGGAGGCCAUUAUCGUUAGCAAAUGAAUGCAAGAACAGAAAGUCAAGUGCUGCAUGUUCUCACUUGUAAGUGGGAGUGAAACGAUGAGAACUCCUGAACACAAAGAGGGAAACAACCGGCACUAAGGAACCAGGCAAAGUUCUUUCCA